AUACAUGGCAAAGUCGAACGAGUUCUGAUUAUUGAAAGGUGCUUGCAUCUUGAUUUAAUUUUGAACGAGUGGCGGACGGGUGAGUAACACGUGGGUAACCUGCCCUUAAGUGGGGGAUAACAUUUGGAAACAGAUGCUAAUACCGCAUAAAUCCAAGAACCGCAUGGUUCUUGGCUGAAAGAUGGCGUAAGCUAUCGCUUUUGGAUGGACCCGCGGCGUAUUAGCUAGUUGGUGAGGUAACGGCUCACCAAGGCAAUGAUACGUAGCCGAACUGAGAGGUUGAUCGGCCACAUUGGGACUGAGACACGGCCCAAACUCCUACGGGAGGCAGCAGUAGGGAAUCUUCCACAAUGGACGCAAGUCUGAUGGAGCAACGCCGCGUGAGUGAAGAAGGCUUUCGGGUCGUAAAACUCUGUUGUUGGAGAAGAAUGGUCGGCAGAGUAACUGUUGUCGGCGUGACGGUAUCCAACCAGAAAGCCACGGCUAACUACGUGCCAGCAGCCGCGGUAAUACGUAGGUGGCAAGCGUUAUCCGGAUUUAUUGGGCGUAAAGCGAGCGCAGGCGGUUUUUUAAGUCUGAUGUGAAAGCCCUCGGCUUAACCGAGGAAGUGCAUCGGAAACUGGGAAACUUGAGUGCAGAAGAGGACAGUGGAACUCCAUGUGUAGCGGUGAAAUGCGUAGAUAUAUGGAAGAACACCAGUGGCGAAGGCGGCUGUCUGGUCUGUAACUGACGCUGAGGCUCGAAAGCAUGGGUAGCGAACAGGAUUAGAUACCCUGGUAGUCCAUGCCGUAAACGAUGAAUGCUAGGUGUUGGAGGGUUUCCGCCCUUCAGUGCCGCAGCUAACGCAUUAAGCAUUCCGCCUGGGGAGUACGACCGCAAGGUUGAAACUCAAAGGAAUUGACGGGGGCCCGCACAAGCGGUGGAGCAUGUGGUUUAAUUCGAAGCAACGCGAAGAACCUUACCAGGUCUUGACAUCUUUUGAUCACCUGAGAGAUCAGGUUUCCCCUUCGGGGGCAAAAUGACAGGUGGUGCAUGGUUGUCGUCAGCUCGUGUCGUGAGAUGUUGGGUUAAGUCCCGCAACGAGCGCAACCCUUAUGACUAGUUGCCAGCAUUUAGUUGGGCACUCUAGUAAGACUGCCGGUGACAAACCGGAGGAAGGUGGGGAUGACGUCAAAUCAUCAUGCCCCUUAUGACCUGGGCUACACACGUGCUACAAUGGAUGGUACAACGAGUUGCGAGACCGCGAGGUCAAGCUAAUCUCUUAAAGCCAUUCUCAGUUCGGACUGUAGGCUGCAACUCGCCUACACGAAGUCGGAAUCGCUAGUAAUCGCGGAUCAGCACGCCGCGGUGAAUACGUUCCCGGGCCUUGUACACACCGCCCGUCACACCAUGAGAGUUUGUAACACCCGAAGCCGGUGGCGUAACCCUUUUAGGGAGCGAGCCGUCUAAAGGGGGGACAAAAAUG
rnacentral:rRNA from 1 species